rnacentral:rRNA from 1 species
GAUGAACGCUAGCUACNGGCUUAACACAUGCAAGUCGAGGGGAAACGGCAUUUAGUGCUUGCACCGAAUGGACGUCGACCGGCGCACGGGUGAGUAACGCGUAUCNNACCUACCCAUUACUGUGGGAUAACCUGCCGAAAGGCAGACUAAUACCGCAUGGUCUUCGAUGACGGCAUCAGAUUUGAAGUAAAGAUUUAUCGGUAAUGGAUGGGGAUGCGUCUGAUUAGCUUGUUGGCGGGGUAACGGCCCACCAAGGCGACGAUCAGUAGGGGUUCUGAGAGGAAGGUCCCCCACAUUGGAACUGAGACACGGUCCAAACUCCUACGGGAGGCAGCAGUGAGGAAUAUUGGUCAAUGGGCGCGAGCCUGAACCAGCCAAGUAGCGUGCAGGAUGACGGCCCUAUGGGUUGUAAACUGCUUUUGUAUGGGGAUAAAGUCAAUCACGUGUGAUUGUUUGCAGGUACCAUACGAAUAAGGACCGGCUAAUUCCGUGCCAGCAGCCGCGGUAAUACGGAAGGUCCGGGCGUUAUCCGGAUUUAUUGGGUUUAAAGGGAGCGUAGGCUGGAGAUUAAGUGUGUUGUGAAAUGUAGACGCUCAACGUCUGACUUGCAGCGCAUACUGGUUUCCUUGAGUACGCACAACGUUGGCGGAAUUCGUCGUGUAGCGGUGAAAUGCUUAGAUAUGACGAAGAACUCCGAUUGCGAAGGCAGCUGACGGGAGCGCAACUGACGCUUAAGCUCGAAGGUGCGGGUAUCGAACAGG